GAUGAACGCUGGCGGCGUGCCUAACACAUGCAAGUCGAGCGAGUGAAGUUCCUUCGGGAACGGAUUUAGCGGCGGACGGGUGAGUAACACGUGGGCAACCUGCCUCAUAGAGGGGAAUAGCCUUCCGAAAGGGAGAUUAAUACCGCAUAAGAUUGUAGUACCGCAUGGUACAGCAAUUAAAGGAGCAAUCCGCUAUGAGAUGGGCCCGCGGCGCAUUAGCUAGUUGGUGAGGUAACGGCUCACCAAGGCGACGAUGCGUAGCCGACCUGAGAGGGUGAUCGGCCACAUUGGGACUGAGACACGGCCCAGACUCCUACGGGAGGCAGCAGUGGGGAAUAUUGCACAAUGGGGGAAACCCUGAUGCAGCAACGCCGCGUGAGUGAUGACGGCCUUCGGGUUGUAAAGCUCUGUCUUCAGGGACGAUAAUGACGGUACCUGAGGAGGAAGCCACGGCUAACUACGUGCCAGCCGCCGCCGUAA
rnacentral:rRNA from 1 species